rnacentral:rRNA from 1 species
GUAGGUGGCAAGCGUUGUCCGGAAUUAUUGGGCGUAAAGCGCGCGCAGGGCGGUUCUUUAAGUCUGAUGUGAAAGCCCACGGCUCAACCGUGGAGGGUCAUUGGAAACUGGAGAACUUGAGUACAGAAGAGGAAAGCGGAAUUCCACGUGUAGCGGUGAAAUGCGUAGAGAUGUGGAGGAACACCAGUGGCGAAGGCGGCUUUCUGGUCUGUAACUGACGCUGAGGCGCGAAAGCGUGGGGAGCAAACGGGAUUAGAUACCCUGGUAGUCCACGCCGUAAACGAUGAGUGCUAAGUGUUAGGGGGUUUCCGCCCCUUAGUGCCGCAGCUAACGCAUUAAGCACUCCGCCUGGGGAGUACGGCCGCAAGGCUG